GGAGAAAGGGAAAAUGAAAAAACAACCUUCAGGAAAUUGAAAUCUUUCAGAGAGUAUCUACUUAAUGAGGAUUUCUAUGGGGGAAUCUACAGCCUGAAUGCUAAGAGAAAUGUCUGUUCUACGAACAUCUGUAUAAUACACAGUGUUGGAAAGUAAGGCACAGUAGUAGGUGUAUGGAAGAUGGAAGAAAAAUCCCUCGUGACAAGAUUAAGGCCAUCUCUGUGGAGGAAACAAGUUCUCCGAAGAAAGAAUAAUUAUUAGCAAGAUGGCUACCCAUAGGUUCCUCUUUCUUUCCACAC